UACGAAGGGGGCUAGCGUUGCUCGGAAUCACUGGGCGUAAAGCGCACGUAGGCGGAUUGUUAAGUCAGGGGUGAAAUCCUGGAGCUCAACUCCAGAACUGCCUUUGAUACUGGCGAUCUCGAGUCCGGGAGAGGUGGAGUGGAACUGCGAGUGUAGAGGUGAAAAUUCGUAGAUAUUCGCAAGAACACCAGUGGCGAAGGCGGACUCACU
rnacentral:rRNA from 1 species